rnacentral:rRNA from 1 species
UACGGAGGAUGCAAGCGUUAUCCGGAUUUAUUGGGUUUAAAGGGUGCGCAGGUUGUUUGAUAAGUCAGUGGUGAAAGUCUGUCGCUUAACGGUAGGAUUGCCAUUGAUACUGUUGGACUUGAAUAUGGAUGAGGUAGGCGGAAUGUGUAGUGUAGCGGUGAAAUGCAUAGAUAUUACACAGAACACCGAUUGCGAAGGCAGCUUACUAAUCCAUCAUUGACGCUGAGGCACGAAAGCGUGGCGAUCAAA